UGAAAUUUGGUAUGCAAUCUUUCAUUCUCCUUCUGUCUAAUCAGAUUUCUUUUGUUUCUAAUCUUUUUUGUGAAUCACUGUUGUUUUCUUCUUGUGGUUUAAUAGUAUCAUUAGAUUCGUUCUUGCAAGAUUACUUAGCAAUUGACUUGUUUGUUGUGUUUUCCUUUCUUUCUUUUUUUUUUUUUUUGAUUAAAGGAACAAGACAAACUCAAACCAAGGAAGCAUCAGCACGUCUCUGCACUGAGCAAAACCAGAGGCAUCUUGAAAAAGCAGUCGACCCAGCUGGAGAAACCAGUAUGUGAGGGCCAAGAUCAAAAGAAAAAGCACUGUUGGCAAGCCAGUCUGCAACAACACUUGCUUCUCUGUAGACAUGAACAAUCUGAACAUCCCAUUUCCUCUUUAGCUAUCAUAUUUUUAACAGCAAGAACAAAAGACACAUAAAUAUCGUAGCUAAAUUUUUAAAUCUUAGCAUAUAUGCUAGCUAAGAUUUAAUUAAUACAUAAAUGAACAAAGACACAUAAAUCUUAGCAUAGGUAGCUCAUACGCUAAGCUUGUUCAUCUCCUUUCUAAGAGCAUUAGCCCUCACCAAGCUCCCAAUGGUAUUGAAAGCCAACUUCAAAUCGUCCAAAGGAUUCCCGGGUACCACCUUCUUGUACAAAUAGCUAUCGAAAGUCAUUUUCUGCACAUACUCAUCUGCACACAUCUCCACGAAUGCCUCUCUUGCUGGGUUCGAUCUGUAGAAUACUUUCUGCAACACAUCCAGCACCUUGUAUGUUGGCCAAUACGUUUUGUCCCAUUUCUCCAAGUACUUCCUCAGGUCACUCUCAUCCACCAUCCUCUUCCCAUUCCCUGACCCCUCAACGAUUGCCUCCGCGCACAUUCUCCCACUCUUCGCCGCAAAGUAGAUGCCCUCGCCUGAACAUUUCGUCACAUACCCUGCCGCAUCCCCUACUAGUGCUACUCUGUCUGAUAACCUGCGUGGCCUCGGGUGUUCUGGUAUUGGGUGUGCCUCUACUCGAAUAAUCAUGCCCCCAAGGAUCUUGUCUUUGGCUCUAUUUCUUGUAGCUAAUUGGAACUUCUUGAUGUCUCCUUUGUGAGUGACUGUGCCAGUUCCAACAGCAACAUGGUCACAUUUGGGGAACACCCAUCCAUAAAAGUCUGGAGAUACAUCAUCACCGACAUACAUUUCAGCUAGGUUCUCAUAGUACACCAUUUUAUCAUCAGGGAUUCUGAUUCUCUCCUGAAAAGCAAUGGCGUAGUCAUAAUCACCAGCACCAAUGGACUUGGCAACACGGGAAUUGGCUCCAUCAGCACCAAUUACUGCAUCAACCUCCAGAGUCUUCUUCUGUCCUGCCCCACCUACCUUUCCAUUAUACUCCGUGUAAUGGAGGACAUAAGGUGCAGUCUCGCUGCCUCUACCACCCUUUGGAAUGUCCAUUUUCAAGAACAAACCAUUGAUGACAUUGGCCCCAUUACUCGCCGCUCUCUCUCUCAAGUAAGAAUCAAGCACCUCGCGUCUCACCAUCCCAAUGUACUCGUGGGGCUUCAGAGUUUGCCCAAUGUCCACGGCGAUGUUGGAAGGGGAGAUCAUCUUCAUCUUGGUCACCUUGCGGUCUAUGAUGUCUAAUGGCAAGUCAAACUCGCCCACCAUGCAAAGAGGAAUUGCUCCGCCGCAUGGUUUGCAGUUGUCGAGCUUGCGUUCGAUGAGGUAGGUCUCAAUGCCACCUUUAGCAAGGGUCUCGGCGGCUGCGCCACCGGCGGGGCCACCGCCGAUGACUGCUACUCUGAGGUUGCGGUUCUGGAGCUUGGGACUGGAUAUGCCAGCGGUUAUCUGAAGGCGGCGCUGGCAAUAGUUGGGAGGGGAAAUGUUGUGUAACUGGGAAUGGAGUUUGGGAGGUUCAGCCGAGGAAUGGCGGAGUCCGGUGAAGGACUUGAAGGCGAUGGAGGAAGUCAUUCUGGUCUUAGGUGUGAAAUUUUUGGUGGAGCUU
rnacentral:misc_RNA from 1 species